UACGGGGGGAGCAAGCGUUGUUCGGAUUUACUGGGCGUAAAGGGCGCGUAGGCGGUCGUGACAAGUCACUUGUGAAAUCUCCGGGCUUAACUCGGAACGGUCAAGUGAUACUGUCGGACUAGAGUACAGAAGGGGCAACUGGAAUUCUCGGUGUAGCGGUGAAAUGCGUAGAUAUCUGGAGGAACACCGGUGGCGAAGGCGACAUCCUGGACCGGUAUUGACGCUGAGGCGCGAAAGCCAGGGGAGCAAACGGG
rnacentral:rRNA from 1 species